UCACUCCUGUCAUCAGAUUAGUCAACAAACCACUGGUAUUAUUCAGACCUGAAGAUUAUGUUAGGACAUGGUUAGGCAAAGAUGGGAACGCAGCGACCCACAGCAACAAUAUGGCACGAAACCCUGAUCCAAAAGCAGAUGAGAACAUGAAACAUAUCCGGGAGCUUCUGUACCCCUGCCCAUAAAGAAGCUUGCAGAUAAGUGGAGAGGCUGACUCUAGGGAAGCUACAGGAUAGUUGCCCUCCCAAUGGAUCUCAUCAUCUGACCUUGGUUGACUUCUGAAACGUCUAAAAGUCUCAUCUCAUAAGAGCAUGGCUCCAUUUCAAGUCUAAAGCCAGUUGCUCUUUGCUGCUGCUAAAUGCCCCAGGACAAUAGCCUUUAUCCUGGAUAAAUGAAUUGAAGUGGAAAGCGAUGUGGAUUACACCAACGUCCAUAGCUUGUUUCACUUGCUUGACCCUCCACCCCACCAUCUCUCUCUCUUUCUAUUUAAAAAUGGUUCGGCUGCCAUUUAAGUUGCGUUGGUCUAGUUUUAGAGCCCUCACAUUUUCAACUUGAAAUGGGGUUAAUUACUUUUAAGCAAAACCUUUUUUUUUCUGAUGAAAUGUUUAUGGCAAAACAGCUGAGGUGAUACUGAAUGAUGUAUGAAUUUUACCUAGAAAUAGGAGUAGUCAUGCCAUCCCAAACCAGGACAUAGGCAAGUCUGAGCCUGUACAGAACUGUUACAGGGGAACUCCAAUAACCAAAAUGGUCACUGUUCCUCCUUUACUUGCAUUUUGGGAUAUCCUGGUAUAUUAAAUGCUUUACAAUGCCACGAAUUAGAAAGGGACAGUUUUACAGGUAGCAAUAACAUAUAUCAAUGAAAAUAGAUUGAAAGAAAACACUUCUCUUAAGAAUUAUCUAACCUGUUUUCUACAAAAGUCUUGAAAUAUAAAUAGAAAAUUAUUUCUUUAUUUUAAAGUAUGUCUUUUGUGUAACAUUGUUUAGGGCAAAAUGUACAUUCUAUCUUGUUUUUGUGGUAGCUAAUCCACUGCUUCAAGUCAAUAUGACUCCUGUCAGAUGUGUUGAUUUAUUUAACCAGGAAAGAACCCUUGACAUAGACAUCUCAUUUACAACUGGGGUCCUGGCAAGAGAAGACUGCAAGAAACAACAAUAUAAAGUCAAUGGCAAAAGUAGACAGAACAUUCAAAUAGGGCAAAAACUCUUCAAAAAAUCAUGCAAAGUAAAAGUAAUCCAAAAUCGCGUCCGCUCCUCCAAGAAUCAUUCGAUCUCUAUCACAGGUAUAUAAAACAGAUACAACAACAGAGAAUUAUACAAAGGAGAAUAUUAAACAGUAGACCGAGUGCUGUGAUGAGCUGCUGAGCCUAAUCGAGAUGGGAGACAUGAACACUGCUUCAUAAAGAAAAAAUAUAACCACGACCACCACUAAUCCACCGGUACCAUGCUCCUGAAUUUCCAAGAAAGAGAGUUAACUACAGCCAAAAAAGCACCUGGUCCUGGGGGAGCAUCCCACUGAAAAAUGUUUUGUCCUGAUUCAACCUGGCACAACUUCCUAACACAGGGGUUCCCAAACUUUUUUGCUGCGCCUCCCUUCAGAUAUUUUGUUUUUCCUGUCCCCCGCCCCUCUUAUA